rnacentral:rRNA from 1 species
GACGAACGCUGGCGGCGUGCUUAACACAUGCAAGUCGAACGGAAAGGCCCCCUUGUGGGGUACCCGAGUGGCGAACGGGUGAGUAACACGUGAGUAACCUACCCUUGACUUUGGGAUAACUUCAGGAAACUGGGGCUAAUACCGGAUAGGAGCUCCUGCUGCAUGGUGGGGGUUGGAAAGUUUCGGCGGUUGGGGAUGGACUCGCGGCUUAUCAGCUUGUUGGUGGGGUAGUGGCUCACCAAGGCUUUGACGGGUAGCCGGCCUGAGAGGGUGACCGGCCACAUGGGGAGGGCGGGAGCAGCCCAGACCGGUGGGGAGGCGGCAGGGGGAAUUGUAGGCGAACGGGGGGAAGCUGGGUGGAGCGACGGGGCGGGCGGGAUGACGGGCUGGGGGUUGGAAGCCGCUGUGGGGUGUGAGGGAGGGGGGGCGACGGAAGUGAGAAAAAAAGCACCGGCAACCCACGGGGCAGCAGCCGGGUAAGUAGAUCGGAAAAGCCCACCUCUGAC